CACGUAGGGCGCGAGCGUUGUCCGGAAUUAUUGGGCGUAAAGAGCUCGUAGGCGGCCUGUUGCGUCCGCUGUGAAAGCCCGGGGCUUAACCCCGGGUCUGCAGUGGAUACGGGCAGGCUAGAGGUAGGUAGGGGAGAAUGGAAUUCCCGGUGUAGCGGUGAAAUGCGCAGAUAUCGGGAGGAACACCAAUGGCGAAGGCAGCUUGCUGGGACGGUACUGACGCUGAGGCGCGAAAGCGUGGGGAGCAAACAGG
rnacentral:rRNA from 1 species